rnacentral:lncRNA from 10 species
CUCACAUUGAAAAACUUUGUUCAAUUCAGAUGUAAGCAACAUUCCCUUGGAUUGUGAAAAGCCAGUUGUUGAAGUCGAAGAACAUGGAAUAACAAGAAUGUUUACCAGAAGAAGGAGAAGAAAAAAGGAGAGAGAGAGGAUUAAAUGCUCACUUAGAUGCCCACUCCACAUCUGAGAUGGAGUCUCAUUCUGUUGCAGUGCAGUGGCACAGUCUUGGCUUACUGCAACCUCCGCUUCCCGAGUUCAAACAAUCCUUCCACCUCAGCCAUCCAAGUAGCUGGGAUUACAAGCAUGCACCACCACACCAAGG